rnacentral:lncRNA from 1 species
GUUGAAAUUCCACUAGGGCUUACAAACCUGCUGCACUGUCAUCGCUCCUUCUGUAGGUGACCUGAGUGUUCCUCCUAGAAAUCAAACAUUUGCCUAAAAACUACAGCAAGCUUCUGGCUUUGUCCUGUUGUCCCAGCACAGCAAGCUUCCUCUCCCACCCCUACUAAAGAGGACCUCUCAUACCGAUGCUGCAGAGGUGUUCUUGUUUCUUCUUUCCUCCUUGUUACGAGAUUUGAGGUACCACCUCUACCAACAUACACUGAUGUGGCUCCCAGCAGAGCUGGUCUGGACCCAAGUCUCUCUGAAAUGCAAGCAGUAAACAGGAAUAAGAGAGCAUGGGGUGCGUCUGCAGUGACAAAUGUGAGAUGCUCACAGCUGGCAAGUUGUGUACCACAGAUGGAGUGA